UAGGGAAUCUUCCACAAUGGGCGAAAGCCUGAUGGAGCAACGCCGCGUGUGUGAUGAAGGCUUUCGGGUCGUAAAGCACUGUUGUAUGGGAAGAACAGCUAGAAUAGGAAAUGACUUUAGUUUGACGGUACCAUACCAGAAAGGGACGGCUAAAUACGUGCCAG
rnacentral:rRNA from 1 species